rnacentral:rRNA from 1 species
ACAGGGAUUGCCCUAGUAACGGCGAGUGAAGCGGCAACAGCUCAAAUUUGAAAUCUGGCUCUUUUAGAGUCCGAGUUGUAAUUUGCAGAGGGCGCUUUGGCUUUGGCAGCGGUCCAAGUUCCUUGGAACAGGACGUCACAGAGGGUGAGAAUCCCGUACGUGGUCGCUGGCUAUUGCCGUGUAAAGCCCCUUCGACGAGUCGAGUUGUUUGGGAAUGCAGCUCUAAAUGGGAGGUACAUUUCUUCUAAAGCUAAAUAUUGGCCAGAGACCGAUAGCGCACAAGUAGAGUGAUCGAAAGAUGAAAAGCACUUUGGAAAGAGAGUCAAACAGCACGUGAAAUUGUUGAAAGGGAAGCGCUUGCAGCCAGACUUGCUUACAGUUGCUCAUCCGGGUUUCUACCCGGUGCACUCUUCUGUAGGCAGGCCAGCAUCAGUUUGGGCGGUAGGAUAAAGGUCUCUGUCACGUACCUCCUUUCGGGGAGGCCUUAUAGGGGAGACGACAUACUACCAGCCUGGACUGAGGUCCGCGCAUCUGCUAGGAUGCUGGCGUAAUGGCUGUAAGCGGCCCGUCUUGAAACACGGACCAAGGAGUCUAACAUCUAUGCGAGUGUUUGGGUGUCAAGCCCGAGCGCGUAAUGAAAGUGAACGGAGGUGGGAACCCGCAAGGGUGCACCAUCGACCGAUCCUGAUGUCUUCGGAAGGAUUUGAGUAAGAGCAUGGCUGUUGGGACCCGAAAGAUGGUGAACUAUGCUUGAAUAGGGUGAAGCCAGAGGAAACUCUGGUGGAGGCUCGCAGCGGUUCUGACGUGCAAAUCGAUCGUCAAAUUUGGGCAUAGGGGCGA